GUGUAACAUCAUGUAGAUGUAUAUAAUGAACAGACUAGGUCUAUACUGCUCCUGCAUGGUGUAACAAUACAUCAUGUAGAUGUAUAUAAUGAACAGACUAGGUCUAUACUGCUCCUACAUGGUGUAACAAUACAUCAUGUAGAUGUAUAUAAUGAACAGACUAGGUCUAUACUGCUCCUACAUGGUGUAACAAUACAUCAUGUAGAUGUAUAUAAUGAACAGACUAGGUCUAUACUGCUCCUACAUGGUGUAACAAUACAUCAUGUAUAUAAUGAACAGACUAGGUCUAUACUGCUCCCUACAUGGUGUAACAAUACAUCAUGUAGAUGUAUAUAAUGAACAGACUAGGUCUAUACUGCUCCUACAUGGUGUAACAAUACAUCAUGUAUAUAAUGAACAGACUAGGUCUAUACUGCUCCUACAUGCUUGCCACAGAUUGCGUGCAAAGGAUUCGAAAUCAUCACAGCACAGCUACAUCAUUCCAUACAUCAGAGGGG